AUUGAACGCUAGCGGGAUGCUUUACACAUGCAAGUCGAACGGCAGCGCGGACUUCGGUCUGGCGGCGAGUGGCGAACGGGUGAGUAAUGUAUCGGAACGUGCCCAGUAGCGGGGGAUAACUACGCGAAAGCGUAGCUAAUACCGCAUACGCUCUACGGGGGAAAGCAGGGGAUCGUAAGACCUUGCACUAGUUGAGCGGCCGAUAUCGGAGUAGCUAGUUGGUGAGGUAACGGCUCACCAAGGCGACGAUCCGUAGCUGGUUUGAGAGGACGGCCAGCCACACUGGGACUGAGACACGGCCCAGACUCCUACGGGAGGCAGCAGUGGGGAAUUUUCGACAAUGGGGGCAACCCUGAUCCAGCCAUCCCGCGUGUGCGAUGAAGGCCUUCGGGUUGUAAAGCACUUUUGGCAGGAAAGAAACGUCGCGGGCUAAUCCCCCGUGGAACUGACGGUACCUGCAGAAUAAGCACCGGCUAACUACGUG
rnacentral:rRNA from 1 species